rnacentral:rRNA from 1 species
UUGACGGUACCCUACUAGAAAGGAGCCGCUAACUUCGUGCCAGAAGCGUCGGUAAUACGGGGGCUCCAAGCGUUAUCCGGUGUUAUUGGGCGUAAAGAGUCGUGUAGGUGGUUGGGUAAGUUAUCUUUCAAAUAUCUUUGCUUAACAAAGAGGAGGGGGAUAAUACUGCUCGACUAGAAUUUUCUCAAGGGAGAUCGGAACUGAGGGAGGAGUAGUGAAAUGCGUUGAUACCCUCGGGAACACCAGUGGCGUAGGCGGAUCUCUGGGAGAAGAUUGACACUGAGACACGAAAGCUAGGGGAGCGAAGCAGAUUAGAGACCUGCGUAGUCCUAGCCGUAUACGCAUGCUUGCUAGCUGCAUGAAUCUACCUUCGGGUGGUAUCGUGUGGCGAAGGUAACCCGUUAAGCAAGCCGCCUGGAAAGUACGGCCGCAAGGCUGAAAUUCAAAGGAAUUGGCGGGGAGGCACACAACCAGUGGAACAUGUGGUUUAAUUCGAGACUAACCGAAGAACCUCACCAGGGUUUGACAUGUAGCUGCACGUCUUAAGAAAUUAAGACUCUCUUGAAGGUGCUACACAGGUGCUGCAUGGCUGUCGUCAGCUCGUUCCGUGAGGAGUGCCCUUAAGUGGGACAACGAGCGCAACCCCUAUUACAUGUUAGAAAUGUCAUGUAAGACUGCCUUGCCAUUUGGCGGGGAGGAAGGAGGGGCAGACGUCAAGUCCGCAUGGUCCUUAUGCCCUGGGCUACACACAUGUUACAAUGAGUACGGCAAUGAGUCUGUCGCGAGCACGUAAGUGUAAGCUAAUCUCUUAAAUGUACUCUCAGUGGGGAUUGAGGUCUGCAACUCGACCUCAUGAACACGGAAUUGGUAGUAAUCGCGGGUCAGCUAUACCGCGGUGAUACGUUCUUGCCUCUUGCACACACCGCCCGUCAAACCAGCAAAGU